rnacentral:rRNA from 1 species
AUGGCUCAAGAGAAUACCAAAAUGUAUGACUUUUCCAACACCAAUAAUAAUGAUUUUAUUAGUACUCCGAUUGCUCCCUCUACUAAUGUGGAAUCUUGUGAAACUAAUGCCGCUUUGCUGAAUCUUGUUAUGAAAGAUCAAUUUUUUGGCCUUCCUAGUGAAGAUGCCGCAUCCCAUCUAAAUAAUUUCGUUGAUUUGUGUGGUAUGCAAAAGAAAAAAGAUGUGGAUAAUGAUAUUGUUAAACUGAAGCUUCCAUUCUCACUUCGAGAUCGUGCUAAAACUUGGUUUUCAUCUUUGCCUAAAAAUAAUAUUGAUUCAUGGAAUAAGUGUAAAGAUGCUUUUAUUUCCAAGUAUUUUCCUCCCGCUAAGAUCAUCUCCCUUAGGAACGAUAUUAUGAAUUUUAAGCUUGGGAUGCUGAUACGUCUCCAACGUAUCUAUAAUUUAUGA